CCUACGGGAGGCAGCAGUGAGGAAUAUUGGUCAAUGGGCGGAAGCCUGAACCAGCCAAGUCGCGUGAGGGAAUAAGGCCCUACGGGUCGUAAACCUCUUUUGCCGGGGAGCAAGGGCCGGGAGGAGUUCCGGUCCGGAGAGUACCCGGAGAAAAAGCAUCGGCUAACUCCGUGCCAGCAGCCGCGGUAAUACGGAGGAUGCGAGCGUUAUCCGGAUUUAUUGGGUUUAAAGGGUGCGUAGGCGGGCUUUUAAGUCAGCGGUAAAAAUUCGGGGCGCAACCCCGUCCGGCCGUUGAAACUGGGGGCCUUGAGUGGGCGAGAAGAAGGCGGAAUGCGUGGUGUAGCGGUGAAAUGCAUAGAUAUCACGCAGAACCCCGAUUGCGAAGGCAGCCUUCCGGCGCCCUACUGACGCUGAGGCACGAAAGUGCGGGGAUCGAACAGGAUUAGAUACCCCAGUAGUC
rnacentral:rRNA from 1 species